rnacentral:rRNA from 1 species
UACGGAAGGCGCAGUGGGGAAUAUUGCACAAUGGGCGCAAGCCUGAUGCAGCCAUGCCGCGUGUAUGAAGAAGGCCUUCGGGUUGUAAAGUACUUUCAGUCGUGAGGAAGGUGUUAAGGUUAAUAACCUUAGCAAUUGACGUUAGCGACAGAAGAAGCACCGGCUAACUCCGUGCCAGCAGCCGCGGUAAUACGGAGGGUGCGAGCGUUAAUCGGAAUUACUGGGCGUAAAGGGCACGCAGGCGGUUAAUUAAGUUGGAUGUGAAAUCCCCGGGCUUAACCUGGGAAUGGCAUUCAAGACUGGUUAGCUAGAGUCUUGUAGAGGGGGUAGAAUUCCAUGUGUAGCGGUGAAAUGCGUAGAGAUGUGGAGGAAUACCGGUGGCGAAGGCGGCCCCUGGGACAAAGGACUGACGCUCAUGUGCGAAAGCGUGGGGAGCAAACAGGGAUUAGAUACC